ACAGCAGUCGCCACGGUAAUACAGAGGGUGCGAGCGUUAAUCGGAUUUACUGGGCGUAAAGCGUGCGUAGGCGGCUUUUUAAGUCGGAUGUGAAAUCCCUGAGCUUUACUUAGGAAUUGCAUUCGAUACUGGGAAGCUAGAGUAUGGGAGAGGAUGGUAGAAUUCCAGGUGUAGCGGUGAAAUGCGUAGAGAUCUGGAGGAAUACCGAUGGCGAAGGCAGCCAUCUGGCCUAAUACUGACGCUGAGGUACGAAAGCAUGGGGAGCAAACAGGAUUAGAUACCCCCGUAGUCCCUGUCUCUUAUAC
rnacentral:rRNA from 1 species